GGCUCAGUGAGUAGUCUUAACCUGAGCACAGGCAGAACGAACAACAGCAAACUAAAGGACAGGCUGCUUGCUGACAGUUUGAAGAAGUGAACUUCACUGCAUUAAAAUCCUGCAUCAGAGAUUAACAGGCAGCUGGGUGCGAGAGAAACACUCAAACACACUCCCACUCACAUCUCAAACCUGUUCACUGCUGCACACCGACCGCUGAGGAACAAAUGACCUUGUGUGAGUGUGUUUCCGUGUUGAGUGC
rnacentral:lncRNA from 1 species